rnacentral:rRNA from 1 species
UAAGGUAGCGAAAUUCCUUGUCGGGUAAGUUCCGACCUGCACGAAUGGCGUAACGAUGGCCACACUGUCUCCUCCUGAGACUCAGCGAAGUUGAAAUGUUUGUGAUGAUGCAAUCUACCCGCGGCUAGACGGAAAGACCCCAUGAACCUUUACUGUAGCUUUGUAUUGGACUUUGAACAGAUCUGUGUAGGAUAGGUGGGAGGCUUUGAAGUGUGGACGCCAGUCUGCAUGGAGCCGACCUUGAAAUACCACCCUUUAAUGUUUGAUGUUCUAACGUUGACCCGUAAUCCGGGUUGCGGACAGUGUCUGGUGGGUAGUUUGACUGGGGCGGUCGCCUCCCAAACCGUAACGGAGGCGCGCGAAGGUUGGCUCAGAGCGGUCGGAAAUCGCUCGUUGAGUGCAAUGGCAGAAGCCAGCCUGACUGCGAGACUGACAAGUCGAGCAGAGUCGAAAGACGGCCAUAGUGAUCCGGUGGUCCCACGUGGGAGGGCCAUCGCUCAACGAAUAAAAGGUACUCCGGGGAUAACAGGCUGAUGAUUU